rnacentral:lncRNA from 1 species
UAUAUAUGGGUCACUCUCCUGGAUUCACUGCACAUAUGAACAUCAACAACUUAAUGGAUGGUGUAUAUCCAUUUUAUAGGAUAACAUGGCAUUGUUUGAUGAGCCAACUAGAAAUAUGUCUCAUCUGAACCAUGAAAUUUUCUUUCAAUUCUUGCAGGUAAAAGAUUGCCAUUGUUUUGCACUGCAGCCACUCACUGAUGUGGAUCAACUGUGCCAGUCACUCCACCACUGUAAAUACGGAACUGCUUUAUUCAGCUCCCUGAAGCUUAAUCAGCCUGCUUUUAAAACAGCUUGUGAGCCCCUUUGGUCUGAAGCUUCCUCCUACCAGGUUGCUUCAUUUCUCUGCGUCAGAGCACGUGCAUGUGG